GAGAGGGAGAACCAGCACCGCCAGCAGCAGGAAACAUCUACCAGGAUGUCCCUUGAAGCAGAGAGCAACCUGCCAAUCACCCCGAGGCUGAUCAUGCUUGGACAAAGUUCAAUGACCGCCACCUGCUGGAUGGUGAGUGCAGAGGGCCGUGUAAUUGUUGAGCUGGACAAAGAGAACACCUUUGCUGAUGCGAUGUCUUCUUUGGUUCAUUCUAUGUAUUGAACCUGGAAUACCAGGAGUCAGCGUGUGCAACAUUGGAACUAAUUCAGAAGUAUGUUUGAACAGUUAGCUAAUAGUGAUAGAUGAUGAAUAAAUUAUCCCUAAGUAACUCAUUAUUUCACAUCACAACUCAAUGUUACUGUAUGUUACUAUUUAUUGUGGCAUGCUUUAAGGUUUUUUGUAAGGAUAAACCCUGAAGAGGGAACAAAAUGUACCUCCAAGGUUGGGACAAGCAGAAAGACUGGGACCACUGUGAAGCAAAAGAUGAUCCAUGGCCCAUGCCUUCUGGACAUUUACACAAGACGAACAACAAUGAAGACAAGCUCUCUCACCAUCUUGCAAGACGCUGUCUCUGUCCAAUAGGUUUUUUGAGUGCAACAGUUUUGAUUUUUUUUUUUCCUUCUUUUACCCGUUUGUUAAAAAUUAUUUCAGCUACUUACACUUUAAUUGUCACAUGUAUUGGCUCACCCUACAAAUCAAUGAACUCAGUCCACAAA